rnacentral:rRNA from 1 species
GAUGAACGCUGGCGGCGUGCCUAAUACAUGCAAGUCGAGCGAACAGACGAGGAGCUUGCUCCUCUGUCGUUAGCGGCGGACGGGUGAGUAACACGUGGAUAACCUACCUAUAAGACUGGGAUAACUUCGGGAAACCGGCGCUAAUACCGGAUAAUAUAUUGAACCGCAUGGUUCAAUAGUGAAAGACGGUUUUGCUGUCUCUUAUCGAUGGUUCUGGGCCGCAUUAGCUAGUUGGUAAGGUAACGGCCUACCAAGGCUACGAUGCGUAGCCGACCGGAGAGGGGGAUCGGCGACACUGGAGCUGAGACACGGUCCAGACUCCUACGGGAGGCAGCAGUAGGGAAUCUUCCGCAAUGGGCGAAAGCCUGACGGAGCAACGCCGCGUGAGUGAUGAAGGUCUUCGGAUCGUAAAGCUCUGUUAUUAGGGAAGAACAAAUGUGUAAGUAACUAUGCACGUCUUGACGGUACCGAAUCAGAAAGCCACGGCUAACUACGUG